rnacentral:rRNA from 1 species
UACAGAGGGGGCAAGCGUUGUUCGGAAUUACUGGGCGUAAAGGGCGCGUAGGCGGCCCGCUAAGUCGAACGUGAAAUCCCCAGGCUCAACCUGGGAACUGCGUCCGAUACUGGCAGGCUUGAAUCCGGGAGAGGGAUGUGGAAUUCCAGGUGUAGCGGUGAAAUGCGUAGAUAUCUGGAGGAACACCGGUGGCGAAGGCGGCAUCCUGGACCGGCAUUGACGCUGAGGCGCGAAAGCUAGGGGAGCAAACGGGG